CACGUAGGGGGCGAGCGUUAUCCAGAUUUACUGGGCGUAAAGCGCGUGUAGGCGGCUGGUUAGGUGUGAUGUGAAAGCCCGGGGCUCACCCCCGGAAGUGCAUUGGAAACUGGUGGACUCGAGUCCCGGAGAGGAGAGUGGAAUUCCUGGUGUAGCGGUGAAAUGCGUAGAUAUCAGGAGGAACACCGGUGGCGAAGGCGGCUCUCUGGACGGUGACUGACGCUGAGACGCGAAAGCGUGGGGAGCAAACAGG
rnacentral:rRNA from 1 species